UCUGGCUCAGGAUGAACGCUAGCUACAGGCUUAACACAUGCAAGUCGAGGGGAAACGACAUCGAAAGCUUGCUUUUGAUGGGCGUCGACCGGCGCACGGGUGAGUAACGCGUAUCCAACCUGCCCACCACUUGGGGAUAACCUUGCGAAAGUAAGACUAAUACCCAAUGAUAUCUCUAGAAGACAUCUGAAAGAGAUUAAAGAUUUAUCGGUGAUGGAUGGGGAUGCGUCUGAUUAGCUUGUUGGCGGGGUAACGGCCCACCAAGGCAACGAUCAGUAGGGGUUCUGAGAGGAAGGUCCCCCACAUUGGAACUGAGACACGGUCCAAACUCCUACGGGAGGCAGCAGUGAGGAAUAUUGGUCAAUGGACGAGAGUCUGAACCAGCCAAGUAGCGUGCAGGAUGACGGCCCUAUGGGUUGUAAACUGCUUUUAUAAGGGAACAAAGUGAGUCUCGUGAGACUUUUUGCAUGUACCUUAUGAAUAAGGACCGGCUAAUUCCGUGCCAGCAGCCGCGGUAAUACGGAAGGUCCGGGCGUUAUCCGGAUUUAUUGGGUUUAAAGGGAGCGUAGGCCGGAGAUUAAGCGUGUUGUGAAAUGUAGACGCUCAACGUCUGCACUGCAGCGCGAACUGGUUUCCUUGAGUACGCACAAAGUGGGCGGAAUUCGUGGUGUAGCGGUGAAAUGCUUAGAUAUCACGAAGAACUCCGAUUGCGAAGGCAGCUCACUGGAGCGCAACUGACGCUGAAGCUCGAAAGUGCGGGUAUCGAACAGGAUUAGAUACCCUGGUAGUCCGCACGGUAAACGAUGGAUGCCCGCUGUUGGUCUGAAUAGGUCAGCGGCCAAGGGAAAGCAUUAAGCAUCCCACCUGGGGAGUAC
rnacentral:rRNA from 1 species